CCCAAAUUGUUGUUUUUAUUUUUGCUGUAUUUCCUCCUACUAUCUACAUUUCCUUAGACUGAAGGAACAUAAUAGAGACAGAGAAUAACCAAUUUUCAGAAUUCGAGUGCAGAUGAUAUCGCUCGGAACACAUUCUAGCAGCGUGUGGUGCAGUCCAGAAGAAAUCAAGUUCAGCAUCAUUUAAUAAACUGCUUUCAGGACCAUUUUAGGAGAGCAUUGAUUUUACUCUUUGCAAGAACAUCCAGGUUCAGGAGCUUUGUCUGUGCCAGGGUUUCCAUGCUUUUAGGGCCAAACCAUGAAAAGCUUCAUACGUAUAAUAUUUUCUAAAAUAGUCGAGUUAUGUGCCCAGCAGUCUGCCUGAUUUUCCCCUUUGUGUUGGCCUCAUAAAAUACGAAAUUUCAAACCCUUUUUGUGCUCCAUGCAUGGAGUUUGAGCAAGGUAAUGAAUCCCAGGGUGAUGUGUCAUUAAAGCUCUCUUUAAGUCAGUCCAGUGCUCCAUGUGCAGGUAAGCGUCACGAGGGGAAAACUGCACGACGAUUCUGGAGACUCUUUGAGCAGGUGUGUUCACAUCUUGGUUAUUUUAAGCUAAGCAAUACUCAGAAGACUUUAUUUUCUUGUUUUGUUUAGUUUUCUUUUUUUUUUCCUUUGUAUAUUUUUUAGGUGAUUUGCAGUGCUAAUUAUACUUUGGGAUUGUUAUCUUUAAUUUCAAGCCAUAUCGUGGUUCCUGAAUCAACACAAAAGAGAUGUUCAUUGAAUCCUUUGCCUCAUUCCUGGCUAAGUGUCAAUAGGAUGACGAACUUAGAUUUUUUUAAAUUUCAUUUGAAACGUGACACCUUUAAACAAGUCCCUUAAGCAUUCAGUCAUCUAAACUGGGAUUUUUCUGAAAGGUCUUGAUUUUUACGAAGUGCUGAGCACUUGACCUCUGAAAAUCCAACUUCUGAAGCUGUUUUAUAUUGGGAUGAGGCUUCUCCUCGCAACAGCUGCCUUUGGAAAUCAUAGUUUAUGUUUUGGGAUUUUAGGAGACUGAAAUGAGUAUGACUCCAGUUUAAUUUGGGAGAGAAAAUCUGCAGACUGCUCACAGAUAAAACGUCAGUUGAAGCUGAAGAGAAUUCCAUGCACAGAGACUCACAGGCCUGAGCUUUUUUGUGAUUAUUCUUGCAACUGUGAAGAAACCAAGUAAAUAUAUUUAAUGUUUGAGUUAAAAAAUUACUGACAAAUAUCAUGCUUCACGUUGACAGCGCUAGAUAGAAAUUCAGUAGGAAUUGCCACCCCAAAUCCUGGGAGACAACUAUAAGUGGAAAGUAUGUUCUGAUGGGAAUAGGUACUUUAUUAGUUUCUUUGAAUCCUAGACCACAGAUAAACUGGGUAGGGGUCUAUUCUCAUACUAUUUAUUCUCUCUGAAGUUGUGAAAUCCACAGUGGCCAUUUGGAAAGUUCAGCAUUUAUCCUUCAGUAGGUCAUUGAGCUUGAAUUCUGCAAAGGAACUUGAAUGCUGAAAUAUCAAGCAAGAUUCUUGUCAGCGAUCCUAAGUUACAUUUCCAUGAAAACUGAUAUUACAGGAUUUCUAAUGUUUUCAUUCAGAUGUGAAACGUAUUGGCAGUACAGAAGGCUUUGAAUCAAAAUUCCAAGAGACUUAGGUAUUAGUUGAGAUCUAGAUCUAGGCUUCCUAUCUUUAUGUAUUUGAUCAAAAUCAUAGAAGACUCUGAAAAAGUAUGAGUCAACCCUGAAUGUUAGUGACUUCUUAGCAGAAAACAUACUACUGUGCCAAUAUUACUUAAAUUAUUGCCAGUUUCUUUCCUACAAAUACAGAAGUCAAAACAUUCUGAUUUGACCUCCUUUGGAAGAUUUUUUUGAACAAAAAUGUCAUUAAUUCAUUAAACAACAAGAAAACACUCGACAUAGGGACAAAGCUCUUUUUUAUCACUUCUUCCCCAGGGUGAGGGCACAUUGCCCCACACAGGUUCAGAAUGUUACUGUUUGUUGAGCAGAAAUAGUGAACUGGGUGCUUUGGGCCACCAAAGUUUGUUCUCAAAACCUUGACUAAGAUAUGGGUUGAGCCCCAAUCCUGAUGAAAGGGUAAAUGAAGCUGCAGAUGAAUCAGAGGACGUGGCAGUAGGUUAUACACAGGCUGCUGGUGGUGGCUGAGAGGGAUCAAAACUCCCCAAUAAAUAAAAAAUAAAUGUGAGAGAGUGGAUGGAAAUUGGCCAGAAAUACCCAGUCAGGCAUUCCUAGUUUUUUGGGAAGAGUUUGAAAUGGUUGUCUUUUCAAAACUAUGUCCUGCAGGAGCCUGUUAUUCCAUGCUGGAUAAAGGGCAGUGCAGAGGAAGGAGGAGAUGGUUGCUAAAGGCAAGGGAGGAUGUGUCUGCUCUGCUGCUUCCUCAUUCAUAUGAGGCCACAGAGGUCUUUAUUCAGAGAACUUUUAGUGCUGGGCAGGAGAAAGUAAAAGCACAACUUUCCUUGUCAGGCCCACCAAGACUGUCCUUUUUUUUGUCAUCGAGAACCAAAUCUUAAGUACCUAGCAAGUAAAGAUUUCCUGGUCUUUAGUUUCAAAUGUGGUAUUCCAAGACAGACCCAUCAAAAUUUUGGGUAUUUCAUAGCUGCUAAUAAAGGUUGAAUUUUUAUCUACUGCUGUUUAACCUUGAGUGUUUCAGAACCCUUUACAAGAUAAGGUUUAAUCAGAGAUCACUCACCUGUCAGGGACACGCUUAUAUUGCUGAAGUAGACUUUGAAUUUCA